UACGAAGGUGGCAAGCGUUGUUCGGAUUCACUGGGCGUACAGGGUGUGUAGGCGGUUUGGUAAGCCUUCUGUUAAAGCUUCGGGCCCAACCCGGAAAGCGCAGAGGUACUGCCAGGCUAGAGGGCGGGAGAGGAGCGCGGAAUUCCCGGUGUAGCGGUGAAAUGCGUAGAGAUCGGGAGGAAGGCCGGUGGCGAAGGCGGCCUCCUGGCUUAAUACUGACGCUGAGGUGCGAAAGCGUGGGGAUCAAACAGG
rnacentral:rRNA from 1 species